rnacentral:rRNA from 1 species
GAUGAACGCUGGCGGCGUGCCUAAUACAUGCAAGUCGAGCGAACGGACGAGAAGCUUGCUUCUCUGAUGUUAGCGGCGGACGGGUGAGUAACACGUGGAUAACCUACCUAUAAGACUGGGAUAACUUCGGAAAACCGGAGCUAAUACCGGAUAAUAUUUUGAACCGCAUGGUUCAAAAGUGAAAGACGGUCUUGCUGUCACUUAUAGAUGGAUCCGCGCUGCAUUAGCUAGUUGGUAAGGUAACGGCUUACCAAGGCAACGAUGCAUAGCCGACCUGAGAGAGUGAUCGGCCACACUGGAACUGAGACACGGUCCAGACUCCUACGGGAGGCAGCAGUAGGGAAUCUUCCGCAGUGGGCGAAAGCCUGACGGAGCAACGCCGCGUGAGUGAUGAAGGUCUUCGGAUCGUAAAACUCUGUUAUUAGGGAAGAACAUAUGUGUAAGUAACUGUGCACAUCUUGACGGUACCUAAUCAGAAAGCCACGGCUAACUACGUG